ACUUAAAUAAUUUAAUAAAAAUAUUGAUUUGUGGAAUCAAAAAUGUAAAAAUAAUUACUUUGAGUU
rnacentral:tRNA from 1 species